rnacentral:ncRNA from 1 species
GAAAGCCGUGUGCGGGAAAAUCGCAUGCACGGUUUGAUGAGAGAGGGCAGGUGCAAGCCUGUCCUCUACUCUAC